UCCAAAUCGCGGUUAUUCUGAGGAUUCCCAGAGCCCAAUAAACCACUUUGAUCGUUUCAGUGGAAGAGGCAAGAGUGGUUCAAUUUUGUUCGCGCCGUGAUGUGUUUAGUGUGAAAAGCAUUGCAAAGUAUAGCAAUAAGUAGCUUGGCGAUUCUAGUGUGUGCGCUGCUAGAAAAAUAUAAGGUUCGUGGCAGCCGUCGAAAGUCCGACACAUCACACCUCUUCGUUAGUGACCGCUCUUGACCCCA